ensembl:lncRNA
CUGGCUCAGCUCUGAAAGACCUGGUCAGGGUAGCUGCGACCGAAAGACCAGCAAAGUGCUAUGGGGGUUAGGGGUGGACGGAGAAGGAUGAAUGGGGGAGGCUGUCGGGGGAGGAGGCAAAGGAACAUGAAUUUCAACUGGGAAAACCCUAAUUCCCGCUUUGAUUCAUUUAAGGAGGGGGAAAACCACUCAGCGAAGGCUCUCUCCAAAACCCAAGACUGUCCAGGUGGCCUGUGAGGCCCCCAAAGUUGCUUGAGGCCCAGCGUGAACCCCAGGUCUGACGGUUAAACUCCUACUCCUUGUCUCCUUACGGGGAUGCCCAGACUGGCUAUUAAGACUGCAUGAAUCAAUGAGUCAAUCAGGUCAGGAGACAAGAAGUAUGCAGAGAAGAAAAUCUGCAGUCAUUCCCGGGACAGAGGGUGGAUCUCCCUUCCCAGUCAUCACUGUUAUCUGUUAUUACUUGUACAAGGAGGGGGCAUAGGAAUCUAGUUAUAGCUUUCUCAGACUUGUAAGUUCUGUUUACCUUCCGAACAGACUUCCCUCUCCCUCCGGGAGCCAGAAACCGUUACCCACAAUCACACACCGAGCUUUGGAGGCCAAGACUUGCACUCCAUUGGUCCCAGCUUUCCCAGUAACUGUUGUCAUAAGCACGUGACCAUAUACGUGUGCUACCACGCCUGGUUUGUAAUGUUUAGAUUUAUUUUACGUGUACGAGUGUUUUGCCUGUAUGCAUGUACAUAUACCACAUGCAUGCCUGCUGUCCAAAGAAGCCGGAAGAGGGUGUGGGAGCUCCGGAACUGGAGAUGUAGAUGAUCUUGAGCCAUUGUGUGGGUGUUGGGAACCAACCCCGUAUCCUCUACAGAAGCAGCAAGCGCUCUUAACGCCAGCCACCUCUCCAGCCCCAGGGCAUUUUGGUGAAGAACCAGAUAUGGUUUUUGAUGUGGUUGUAAGAGUCACAGCCGUGUGUGGGGGGGGGGGGGCGGGUUUCCAAUUUGUGAGAGUCCCUCCCUCUCUCUGUGGAAGAGAGGACAAAGCUUGCUCCACGCAUACUGGGCGCCUAGAGCCCCGCCCACUUUUGCUUUAGAACCGAACCUGAGUUUAUGCAUCCGGUAGGCUCAGUCCCAACUGCAGGACUCCAUCAUUGCCGCCCCAGUCUCCAAAAUGUCCGUACAGAUCAACCCCGAGAGUGAAGUGAAUCCAACAGUGACAUCGACAGCGUAGACUAAUAUGUUAAAACGCUGGCUGCAGAGAAGAACCCGCUGCUCUAAGAAGGUUCCGCUAUCACGAAUGGGACUUCCGUUCUGUGUUCCCCCGUUCAAGAGAGCCGGAGACACUUGGCUGAGCUUUUUAAAUCUUUCUUUAACUGAUAUCUCACUUGUUAAAAUCUGUUGUCUGUUAUGUACACGGUAUGGCCAUAGGCAUCAAAUCUGUAUGUGACUACAUCAGGGCAUCGUGGCCCAAAACCUAGUAGCAGUCUUCAUAAGGUGAAACAGGGGGAUUCCAAGUUCAAGACCAGCCUGGAUUCCUUAGUAAGAUUCUAUCUCAAAAAAAUAAAGAUAUUUGGGAAGGGGAACAUUUGAGAUGUAAAUAAAUAAAAUAAUUCGAAAAGUCAUUAA